CCACGAAGCAGGCAGGCAGGCCCUCGCCCCACACCCUAAGGGACUUCCGGCCUUGGGUACCAGGAAGUGGCUGGGCUCCUCCCUCCCACCCUGGCUGCUUCCUGCCCACCCGGCAGCCGGGGAAGGAGCGUGGGAAAUUCUCAGGGCCCUGACCCCUGCCCCACCCCCUCUUCGGGGCCUUGGGACCCAGGUCAGUCCCUCUGACUCCCUGAGCUGACAUCCCACCCCAGGAACCCUCCCAACCAAGGCCAGAUCCCCCCACUAGGCGAGCAGGCGGGAGUCAAUGUGUGUUUCAUUUUCUGUUUAUUACUUGAAAUCACGGUGCUCGUGUAGGUUUUUUUUUUUUUUUCAAUUUUAUGUUUUCAUACAUGAAACUCACGCCAGGUGCCGGGACCCCCACAGCCCGACCCCCCGAGGGCGGGUAAUGCUUUCUUGGGCAGCCCUUACCGGGCACAGACGUUAUUUAAAAAUCG
rnacentral:lncRNA from 10 species